CGCCGACGACCGGCGCACGGGUGCGCAACGCGUAUACAAUCUACCUUAUGCUGAGGGAUAGCCCAGAGAAAUUUGGAUUAAGACCUCAUGGUAUCGGAGAACGGCAUCGUUUUCUGAUUAAAGGUUACGGCAUAAGAUGAGUAUGCGUCCCAUUAGCUAGUUGGUGUGGUAACGGCACACCAAGGCAACGAUGGGUAGGGGUCCUGAGAGGGAGAUCCCCCACACUGGUACUGAGACACGGACCAGACUCCUACGGGAGGCAGCAGUGAGGAAUAUUGGACAAUGGACGGAAGUCUGAUCCAGCCAUGCCGCGUGCAGGAAGACGGUCCUAUGGAUUGUAAACUGCUUUUAUACGGGAAGAAUAAGGGCUACGUGUAGCCCGGUGACGGUACCGUAAGAAUAAGGAUCGGCUAACUCCGUGCCAGCAGCCGCGGUAAUACGGAGGAUCCAAGCGUUAUCCGGAAUCAUUGGGUUUAAAGGGUCCGUAGGCGGACUAUUAAGUCAGGGGUGAAAGUCUGCAGCUCAACUGUAGAAUUGCCUUUGAUACUGGUAGUCUUGAGUUAUGGUGAAGUGGCUAGAAUAUGUAGUGUAGCGGUGAAAUGCAUAGAUAUUACAUAGAAUACCGAUUGCGAAGGCAGGUCACUAACCAUACACUGACGCUGAUGGACGAAAGCGUGGGGAGCGAACAGGAUUAGAUACCCUGGUAGUCCACGCCGUAAACGAUGGAUACUAGCUGUUCGGACUUCGGUCUGAGC
rnacentral:rRNA from 1 species